UACGUAGGGGGCGAGCGUUGUCCGGAAUUAUUGGGCGUAAAGAGCGUGUAGGCGGUUCGGUAAGUCUGCCGUGAAAACCUGGGGCUCAACCCCGGGCGUGCGGUGGAUACUGCCGGGCUAGAGGGUGGUAGAGGCGAGUGGAAUUCCCGGUGUAGCGGUGAAAUGCGCAUAUAUCGGGAGGAACACCAGUAGCGAAGGCGGCUCGCUGGGCCAUUCCUGACGCUGAGACGCGAAAGCUAGGGGAGCGAACAGG
rnacentral:rRNA from 1 species